UACAGAGGGUGCGAGCGUUGUUCGGAAUUAUUGGGCGUAAAGGGCGCGUAGGCGGUGCGGUAAGUCACCUGUGAAAUCUCCUGGCUCAACUGGGAGCUUGCAGGCGAAACUGCCGUGCUGGAGUGUGGGAGAGGUGCGUGGAAUUCCUGGUGUAGCGGUGAAAUGCGUAGAUAUAUAAAAGAACACCAAUAUAGCGAAGGCAGUUAACUAUUCUGCCACUGACAUUGAGGCAUGAAAGCGUGGGGAGCAAAACGG
rnacentral:rRNA from 1 species